rnacentral:rRNA from 1 species
UGGAUCCAGACUUUGAUCAUGGCUCAGGAUGAACGCUAGCUACAGGCUUAACACAUGCAAGUCGAGGGGAAACGACAUCGAAAGCUUGCUUUUGAUGGGCGUCGACCGGCGCACGGGUGAGUAACGCGUAUCCAACCUGCCCAUCACUUGGGGAUAACCUUGCGAAAGUAAGACUAAUACCCAAUGAUAUCUCUAGAAGACAUCUGAAAGAGAUUAAAGAUUUAUCGGUGAUGGAUGGGGAUGCGUCUGAUUAGCUUGUUGGCGGGGUAACGGCCCACCAAGGCGACGAUCAGUAGGGGUUCUGAGAGGAAGGUCCCCCACAUUGGAACUGAGACACGGUCCAAACUCCUACGGGAGGCAGCAGUGAGGAAUAUUGGUCAAUGGACGAGAGUCUGAACCAGCCAAGUAGCGUGCAGGAUGACGGCCCUAUGGGUUGUAAACUGCUUUUAUAAGGGAAUAGAGUGAGAGUCGUGACUCUUUUUGCAUGUACCUUAUGAAUAAGGACCGGCUAAUUCCGUGCCAGCAGCCGCGGUAAUACGGAAGGUCCGGGCGUUAUCCGGAUUUAUUGGGUUUAAAGGGAGCGUAGGCCGGAGAUUAAGCGUGUUGUGAAAUGUAGACGCUCAACGUCUGCACUGCAGCGCGAACUGGUUUCCUUGAGUACGCACAAAGUGGGCGGAAUUCGUGGUGUAGCGGUGAAAUGCUUAGAUAUCACGAAGAACUCCGAUUGCGAAGGCAGCUCACUGGAGCGCAACUGACGCUGAAGCUCGAAAGUGCGGGUAUCGAACAGGAUUAGAUACCCUGGUAGUCCGCACGGUAAACGAUGGAUGCCCGCUGUUGAUCUGAAUAGGUCAGCGGCCAAGCGAAAGCAUUAAGCAUCCCACCUGGGGAGUACGCCGGCAACGGUGCAACUCAAAGGAAUUGACGGA